CAGAAGCAUAAGAAAAACCGGUGAUGCGAUCAACGAUUUAUUUUUUAUCGUAUAACCAAUAACUCUACGUUAUAAAUGUAGAAUUACUUUUUUACAAUGCGUUAUUACGUUUAACAAUUUUUGUUCAAAAAUUUAACCACGAUUGAAAUAAUAACGCGAGAGUACGCAAAGGUCGAAUAGACAAUUCCGCCUCCUGCAUGGUCGAUUCCCACGAAUUGAAUUUCGGAAGAAAAAAAAAGAAACCUUUAAAAAUGGUAAAACAAAAACGGGAGUCGGAGAUGGGCGUGCGGGCUGAGUACACGCCGAUAUGCUGGUGGCUAUGACCGAGCGUUUUACAUUUGGG
rnacentral:misc_RNA from 1 species